AACUGAAGAGUUUGAUCAUGGCUCAGAUUGAACGCUGGCGGCAGGCUUAACACAUGCAAGUCGAGCGGGGGAAGGUAGCUUGCUACUGGACCUAGCGGCGGACGGGUGAGUAAUGCUUAGGAAUCUGCCUAUUAGUGGGGGACAACAUCUCGAAAGGGAUGCUAAUACCGCAUACGUCCUACGGGAGAAAGCAGGGGAUCUUCGGACCUUGCGCUAAUAGA
rnacentral:rRNA from 1 species